rnacentral:rRNA from 1 species
AUAUCAGUAAGCGGAGGAAUAGAAACUAACAAGGAUUCCCGUAGUAACUGCGAGUGAAGUGGGAAUAGCUCAAAUUUAAAAUCUGGUCCACUUGUGGAUCCGAAUUGUAGUCUAUAGAGGUGCUUUCUUGGGGACGCGUGCGCACAAGUGUCCUGGAAUGGACCAUCACAGAGGGUGAGAAUCCCGUUUGGGCGCACGUUGUCUUCAUUUACGAGGCACUCUCGAAGAGUCGAGUUGUUUGGGAAUGCAGCUCAAAUUGGGUGGUAAACUUCAUCCAAGGCUAAAUAUUGGCAAGAGACCGAUAGCGAACAAGUACCGUGAGGGAAAGAUGAAAAGCACCUUGAAAAGGGAGUGAAGUAGCGCGUGAAAUUGUUAAAAGGGAAACGAUUGAGGCCAGCAUUGUGCGCAUGUUUUUGGGCUGUGAGUGUACGGUGUGGGAGCGAAAGCCUUGCAUGUGCAUAGCACUCUGACAACGGCGCGCGAGUCAGGGCCGCUUUGACCUGCCUUAUAAUACUCUGGAAAGGUAGUCAUCACUUGUGAUGACCUUAUAGUCCAGAGGGAUGUGGUGAGUUGGAGCUGGUAGUGUGGCAUGUUUCUGAUUGUGCGUUGUGCUAGUGUAGACUGCGUGCAGACUGCGCCAGCCCAAAGCAUAAUAACAUUUACUACACACACGAUCCUGACGGAAUGGUAUCAACCGA